UGGGGAAUUUUGCACAAUGGGGGAAACCCUGAUGCAGCGACGCCGCGUGAUUUAGAAGGCCUUCGGGUUGUAAAAAUCUUUUGUAUGGGAAGAAAAUGACAGUACCAUACGAAUAAGGACCGGCUAAUUACGUGCCAGCAGCCGCGGUAAUACGUAAGGUCCGAGCGUUGUCCGGAAUCAUUGGGCGUAAAGGGUACGUAGGCGGAUAAGCAAGUUAGAAGUGAAAUCCUAUAGCUCAACUAUAGUAAGCUUUUAAAACUGCUCAUCUUGAGGUAUGGAAGGGAAAGUGGAAUUCCUAGUGUAGCGGUGAAAUGCGCAGAUAUUAGGAAGAAUACCGGUGGCGAAGGCGACUUUCUGGUCAUCAUCUGACGCUGAGGUACGAAAGCGUGGGUAGCAAACAGG
rnacentral:rRNA from 1 species